rnacentral:rRNA from 1 species
ACCUGACCCCAUGCCGAACUCAGAAGUGAAACGCCGUAGCGCCGAUGGUAGUGUGGGGUCUCCCCAUGCAAGAGUAGGGAACUGCCAGGC